UUUUUUUUUUUUUUUUUUUUUUUUUUUUUUUUUUUUUUUUUCUC
rnacentral:ribozyme from 1 species